UUUGUACUCCCUCCGAUCCAUAUUACUUGUCGCUCAAAUGGGUGUAUCUAGCACUGAAAUACGUCUAGAUACAUCCGUUUGAGCGACAGGUAAUAUGGAUCGGAGGGAGUAUUGG
rfam:Triticum aestivum genome assembly, contig: Triticum_aestivum_CS42_TGACv1_scaffold_433500_5DL